rnacentral:tRNA from 1 species
GGAGAGGUGGCUGAGUGGCCGAAAGCACCGCACUGCUAAUGCGGUAUACGGGUAAAACCGUAUCGAGGGUUCGAAUCCCUCCCUCUCCG